GGGCCUGCGGCGUGCUAUACAUGCAGUCGAGCGGACAGAUGGGAGCUUGCUCCCUGAUGUUAGCGGCGGACGGGUGAGUAACACGUGGGUAACCUGCCUGUAAGACUGGGAUAACUCCGGGAAACCGGGGCUAAUACCGGAUGCUUGUUUGAACCGCAUGGUUCAAACAUAAAAGGUGGCUUCGGCUACCACUUACAGAUGGACCCGCGGCGCAUUAGCUAGUUGGUGAGGUAAUGGCUCACCAAGGCAACGAUGCGUAGCCGACCUGAGAGGGUGAUCGGCCACACUGGGACUGAGACACGGCCCAGACUCCUACGGGAGGCAGCAGUAGGGAAUCUUCCGCAAUGGACGAAAGUCUGACGGAGCAACGCCGCGUGAGUGAUGAAGGUUUUCGGAUCGUAAAGCUCUGUUGUUAGGGAAGAACAAGUACCGUUCGAAUAGGGCGGUACCUUGACGGUACCUAACCAGAAAGCCACGGCUAACUACGUGCCAGCAGCCGCGGUAAUACGUAGGUGGCAAGCGUUGUCCGGAAUUAUUGGGCGUAAAGGGCUCGCAGGCGGUUCCUUAAGUCUGAUGUGAAAGCCCCCGGCUCAACCGGGGAGGGUCAUUGGAAACUGGGGAACUUGAGUGCAGAAGAGGAGAGUGGAAUUCCACGUGUAGCGGUGAAAUGCGUAGAGAUGUGGAGGAACACCAGUGGCGAAGGCGACUCUCUGGUCUGUAACUGACGCUGAGGAGCGAAAGCGUGGGGAGCGAACAGGAUUAGAUACCCUGGUAGUCCACGCCGUAAACGAUGAGUGCUAAGUGUUAGGGGGUUUCCGCCCCUUAGUGCUGCAGCUAACGCAUUAAGCACUCCGCCUGGGGAGUACGGUCGCAAGACUGAAACUCAAAGGAAUUGACGGGGGCCCGCACA
rnacentral:rRNA from 1 species